rnacentral:sRNA from 1 species
AACCAAGUAGAAGCUCCCGCUUCUCACCUGUUGCGACGCUAUAGGCAGUUGGCAGGUCUUAUAUAUACAUGUUAAUUUCAUGUGUAGAGAAGAGCGGGUAUAUUAUAUACUCGCUCUUUUUGCU